GGAUUAGAUACCCUGGUAGUCCACGCCGUAAACGGUGGGCGCUAGUUGUGCGAACCUUCCACGGUUUGUGCGACGCAGCUAACGCAUUAAGCGCCCCGCCUGGGGAGUACGAUCGCAAGAUUAAAACUCAAAGGAAUUGACGGGGCCCCGCACAAGCAGCGGAGCAUGCGGCUUAAUUCGACGCAACGCGAAGAACCUUACCAAGGCUUGACAUAUACAGGAAUACGGCAGAGAUGUCGUAGCCGCAAGGUCUGUAUACAGGUGGUGCAUGGUUGUCGUCAGCUCGUGUCGUGAGAUGUUGGGUUAAGUCCCGCAACGAGCGCAACCCUCGUUCUGUGUUGCCAGCAUUUAGUUGGGGACUCACAGGAGACUGCCGGGGUUAACUCGGAGGAAGGUGGGGAUGACGUCAAAUCAUCAUGCCCCUUAUGUCUUGGGCUGCACGCAUGCUACAAUGGCUGGUACAAACGGCUGCAAUACCGCAAGGUGGAGCGAAUCCGAGAAAGCCAGUCUCAGUUCGGAUUGGGGUCUGCAACUCGACCCCAUGAAGUCGGAGUUGCUAGUAAUCGUAGAUCAGCAACGCUACAGGUGAAUACGUUCCCGGGGCUUGUACACACCGCCCGUCACAUCACGA
rnacentral:rRNA from 1 species